rnacentral:rRNA from 1 species
AUUGAACGCUGGCGGCAGGCUUAACACAUGCAAGUCGAGCGAGCCGCGGACGGGUGAGAACUGUCUGGGCCCCUUCCUGAUGGAGGGGGAUAACUACGGGAAACGGUAGCUAAUUCCGCCCACCAUCAGCUGUGCCCAGAUGGGAUUAGCUAGUAGGUGGGGCAAGUGCUCACCUAGGCGACGAUCCCUAGCUGGUCUGAGAGGAUGACCAGCCACACUGGAACUGAGACACGGUCCAGACUCCUACGGGAGGCAGCAGUGGGGAAUAUUGGACAAUGGGGGAAAGCCUGAUACAGCCAUGCCGCGUGUGAGAAGAAGGCCUUCGGGUUGUAAAGCACUUUCGGCGGGGAGGCGGUACUCGCAGAAGAAGCACCGGCUAACUCCGUGCCAGCAGCCGCGGUAAUAC